rnacentral:snRNA from 1 species
GUACUUGCUUCGGCAGUACAUAUACUAAAAUUGGAACGAUACAGAGAAGAUUAGCAUGGCCCCUGCGCAAGGAUGGUCAUGUAAAUUCUACUCAACUUCUUAAUGUCU